rnacentral:piRNA from 1 species
UGCAGAAACUCUGUUUCCUUUUUCCUCCAAU